UACGUAGGGUGCGAGCGUUAUCCGGAUUCACUGGGUUUAAAGGGUGCGUAGGUGGGUCUGUAAGUCCGUGGUGAAAUCUCCAAGCUUAACUUGGAAACUGCCAUGGAUACUAUAGGUCUUGAAUACCGUGGAGGUGAGCGGAAUAUGUCAUGUAGCGGUGAAAUGCUUAGAUAUGACAUAGAACACCAAUUGCGAAGGCAGCUCACUACACGAAUAUUGACACUGAGGCACGAAAGCGUGGGGAUCAAACAGG
rnacentral:rRNA from 1 species